rnacentral:rRNA from 1 species
UAGGGUUUGAUUAUGGCUCAGGACGAACGCUGGCGGCAUGCUUAACACAUGCAAGUCGAACGAGAAAGCUUCUUCGGAAGUGAUUAAAGUGGCGCACGGGUGAGUAACGCGUAGACAAUCUGCCCUUCAGUCCGGGACAACUUUCCGAAAGGGGAGCUAAUACCGGAUAACAAUGUUUAACAUAAGUUGAAUAUUUGAAAGCUCCGGCGCUGAUGGAUGAGUCUGCGUCCCAUUAGCUUGUUGGUGCGGUAGUGGCGCACCAAGGCCACGAUGGGUAGCGGGUUUGAGAGGACGAUCCGCCACACUGGAACUGAGACACGGUCCAGACUCCUACGGGAGGCAGCAGUGGGGAAUAUUGCACAAUGGAGGAAACUCUGAUGCAGCAAUGCCGCGUGAGUGAAGAAGGCCCUUGGGUCGUAAAGCUCUUUUAUGGGGGAAGAUGAUGACGGUACCCCUAGGAAUAAGCACCGGCUAACUACGUGCCAGCCGCCGCGGUAAUUCA